rnacentral:piRNA from 1 species
UGCUCAAUCAGGAGCCAGCUGUGCAGG